rnacentral:tRNA from 1 species
GCGAGCGUAGUCUAGUGGUUAUGAUGUCUGCUUUACAUUGCUAUAAUGUGAGAGCGCAGAAGGUCGGGAGUUCGAUCCUCCCCGCUCGUA